rnacentral:tRNA from 1 species
ACUAUUUAGGCGGAUUAAGCGCGUUAGGGUUAGAACCUAAAUUUGAUUAAUUAUCAAAUGGUG